CCCUUAGAUGUCCUGGGCUGCACGCGUGCUACAAUGAUACGUGCAACGAGUUAAUCCUGCUCUGAAAGGAGUGGGUAAUCUUAUGAAUGCGUAUCGUGCUUGGGAUUGACCAUUGUAAUUAUUGGUCAUGAACGAGGAAUUCCUAGUAAGCACAAGUCAUCAGCUUGUGCUGAUUACGUCCCUGCCCUUUGUACACACCGCCCGUCGCUCCUACCGAUUGGGUGUGCUGGUGAAAUGUUCGGAUCGGCCGUUUGUCGCGGUUUCCGCGUCAUGUGGCUGAGAAGUUCAUUAAACCCUCCCACCUAGAGGAAGGAGAAGUCGUAACA
rnacentral:rRNA from 1 species